GAUGAACGCUGGCGGCGUGCCUAAUACAUGCAAGUCGAGCGAACGGACGAGAAGCUUGCUUCUCUGAUGUUAGCGGCGGACGGGUGAGUAACACGUGGAUAACCUACCUAUAAGACUGGGAUAACUUCGGGAAACCGGAGCUAAUACCUGAUAAUAUUUUGAACCGCAUGGUUCAAUAGUGAAAGACGGUCUUUCUGUCACUUAUAGAUUGAUCCGCGCUGCAUUAGCUAGUUGGUAAGGUAACGGCUUACCAAGGCAACGAUGCAUAGCCGACCUGAGAGGGUGAUCGGCCAAACUGGAACUGAGAAACGGUCCAGACUCAUACGGGAGGCAGCAGUAGGGAAUCUUCCGCAAUGGGCGAAAGCCUGAAGGAGAAACGCCGCGUGAGUGAUGAAGGUCUUCGGAUCGUAAAACUCUGUUAGUAGGGAAGAACAAAUGUGUAAGUAACUGUGCACAUCUUGACGGUACCUAAUCAGAAAGCCACGGCUAACUACGUG
rnacentral:rRNA from 1 species